rnacentral:rRNA from 1 species
CCUACGGGGGGCAGCAGUGGGGAAUAUUGCACAAUGGGGGAAACCCUGAUGCAGCAACGCCGCGUGAGUGAGGAAGUAUUUCGGUAUGUAAAGCUCUAUCGGCAGGGAAGAAGGAGGACGGUACCUGACUAAGAAGCCCCGGCUAACUACGUGCCAGCAGCCGCGGUAAUACGUAGGGGGCAAGCGUUAUCCGGAUUUACUGGGUGUAAAGGGGGCGCAGACGGCAGCGCAAGCCAGGAGUGAAAGCCCGGGGCCCAACCCCGGGACUGCUCUUGGAACUGCGCGGCUGGAGUGCAGGAGGGGCAGGCGGAAUUCCUGGUGUAGCGGUGAAAUGCGUAGAUAUCAGGAGGAACACCGGUGGCGAAGGCGGCCUGCUGGACUGCGACUGACGUUGAGGCCCGAAAGCGUGGGGAGCAAACAGGAUUAGAUACCCGGGUAGUC